rnacentral:lncRNA from 1 species
ACUGGAAGACAUCUCAAAAGUUUUCUAAUUCUAUCAUUAGUUGAAAAAGUUUUUCCAAGAGAUCUUAAUUCAUUUAUGAUAGUAGUAAAUCUUGAAAAUAUUUCAUCAAUAGUUUCGUUUUCAAUCAUUUCAAAAGUUUCAAAUUUAUUAGUUCCUAUGUCUAUUCUUGUUUCUUUUACAUGACUAGUUCCUUCAUGGUGAACUUGUAAAGUGUCCCAAACCUUUUUAGCGGUAUCACAUU